rnacentral:tRNA from 8 species
GUCCCAAUAGCUCAGCUGGAUAGAGCAACGCCCUUCUAAGGCGUCGGUCGGGGGUUCGAAUCCCUCUUGGGACA